GACAGAGGGUGCAAACGUUGUUCGGAAUUACUGGGCGUAAAGCGCGUGCAGGCCGCUUGGCAAGUCGGAUGUGAAAGCCCCGGGCUUCACCUGGGAAGCGCAUUCGAAACUGCAGAGCUUGAGUCCUGGAGAGGAAGGCGGAAUUCUCGGUGUAGAGGUGAAAUUCGUAGAUAUCGAGAGGAACACCGGUGGCGAAGGCGGCCUUCUGGACAGUGACUGACGCUGAGACGCGAAAGCGUGGGGAG
rnacentral:rRNA from 1 species